GCAAGUCGAACGGCAGCAUAGGAGCUUGCUCCUGAUGGCGAGUGGCGAACGGGUGAGUAAUAUAUCGGAACGUGCCCUAGAGUGGGGGAUAACUAGUCGAAAGACUAGCUAAUACCGCAUACGAUCUACGGAUGAAAGUGGGGGAUCGCAAGACCUCAUGCUCCUGGAGCGGCCGAUAUCUGAUUAGCUAGUUGGUGGGGUAAAAGCCUACCAAGGCAACGAUCAGUAGCUGGUCUGAGAGGACGACCAGCCACACUGGGACUGAGACACGGCCCAGACUCCUACGGGAGGCAGCAGUGGGGAAUUUUGGACAAUGGGGGCAACCCUGAUCCAGCAAUGCCGCGUGAGUGAAGAAGGCCUUCGGGUUGUAAAGCUCUUUUGUCAGGGAAGAAACGGUAGUAGCGAAUAACUAUUACUAAUGACGGUACCUGAAGAAUAAGCACCGGCUAACUACGUGCCAGCAGCCGCGGUAAUACGUAGGGUGCAAGCGUUAAUCGGAAUUACUGGGCGUAAAGCGUGCGCAGGCGGUUGUGUAAGUCAGAUGUGAAAUCCCCGGGCUCAACCUGGGAAUUGCGUUUGAGACUGCACGGCUAGAGUGUGUCAGAGGGGAGUAGAAUUCCACGUGUAGCAGUGAAAUGCGUAGAUAUGUGGAGGAACACCAAUGGCGAAGGCAGCCCCCUGGGAUAACACUGACGCUCAUGUACGAAAGCGUGGGUAGCAAACAGGAUUAGAUACCCUGGUAGUCCACGCCCUAAACGAUGUCAACUGGUUGUUGGGGGAGUGAAAUCCCUUAGUAACGAAGCUAACGCGUGAAGUUGACCGCCUGGGGAGUACGGUCGCAAGAUUAAAACUCAAAGGAAUUGACGGGGACCCCGCACAGCGGUGGAUGAUGUGGAUUAAUUCGAUGCAACGCGAAAAACCUUACCUACCC
rnacentral:rRNA from 1 species